UGUAUAGCUCAAUUGGUAGAGCAAUGGUCUCUUAAACCAGAGGUUUUGGGUUCGAGUCCCAAUACACCCA
rnacentral:tRNA from 3 species